UGUAAAUAUUAGAGGCACAUAAUACAUAUUCAUGAACUGAACUCAAGAGAAAAUGGGAAUUGUUCGACUUUUUUUUUCAAGAUUAUGCAAUGCAGAAAUUUGAAUGUAUAAUAAAGGUGUUCUAAAUCAGAUCAGAUCAAAAACACAGUUAGGAUGGAUGUGUUUAGGUGGCCAUAUUUAUAUUCUCAUUUCUUGAUAUGGAAUAUAAAAAUUUCGAGUAGAAAGUUGCUGUGCCAACAAAAUUUAGAUUUUAAUACAGUUAUCUAGGAUUUGAAAUAUUAGGAAAUACGAGUAAAUUAUAAUUGCAAUGAUUCGAAUUAAAUUCCAAAAUGUAAUUUUCACAUACAAAAAUUUAACUUAAUUUAACAUUACUUGAUAAUCGUAGAAAUAAGAUGAAAUAAAUACAUUUUAUAGAUAA